CUCUUGUUUCUGUUAAAGUUAUUAUGACCAAAUAUGGACCAUCGCUAGACCUCACCAAGAGGUAUUAUCAAAUGACCUUGUUAAGGAUUUCAUCAUCCCUUUUAGGAGUUAUCUCCCUUUUAUUGAUUUUUUUCAACAUGCCCCCCCCCCCCCCUUGUUGGUUUUAAAGAUAUCAUGACCUUAAUUGGACAUAAUGUAGAUCUCAUCAUGAUGUAUUACCAUGUGAGGCUGAAUAGGAUUUCAUCGUCCCCCAUGAGAGUUAUAUCCCCUUGAAACAAUUUCUUUCCUUUGCAUUUUUCUCAAAAAGUAUAAGAGAUAGAAUCGAUUUGAAAACGGCAACAUGUACAGGAUCGGAUGGCAAUGUUAAUGAACAUGUACAAUCAUUUGUUAUUAACCCUUAUAAGGAGUUAUACCCCUUGAAAAAUUGAACAUAAUUUUAGAAAAAUUGUAUUUCGAGAACCAGAAGUCGUAGAGACUUGG
rnacentral:lncRNA from 1 species